CAUGAUGUUAAUUAAUACAAUAGAUAAUGACUUGAAACAGUCUACCAAUAGGAGUUAAUUUUAAAUGAUAACAUCGAUUGACUUAUCACUUUUUUGUAAUUGUGAUUUUGUGAUCAUUAGUAACAUAACUACGGUUAACGAAUGAACCACUGAUCUUUUUGGAAUUAUUUGUGCAACCGAAUAUGACUUUGUGGAUUCAAUAAAGAUGUCUAU